rnacentral:snoRNA from 1 species
UUUCCUUCUUAUCCUGCACGCAGUUUGUUCAUUGACUGUGGAGCCUGGAAAUGGAGGAGAAAUCAAUUUGAGGGGGUGCUAAUGCGGCAUGUCUUCUUCUGAAGAUGUGAAGCUUGUGCUGCCUUGCACAUUU